rnacentral:rRNA from 1 species
ACGAAGGGUGCAAGCGUUACUCGGAAUUACUGGGCGUAAAGCGUGCGUAGGUGGUUCGUUAAGUCUGAUGUGAAAGCCCUGGGCUCAACCUGGGAAUGGCAUUGGAUACUGGCGAUCUAGAGUGCGGUAGAGGGCAGUGGAAUUCCCGGUGUAGCAGUGAAAUGCGUAGAGAUCGGGAGGAACAUCUGUGGCGAAGGCGACUGCCUGGACCAGCAUCGACGUUCAGGCACGAAAGCGUGGGGAGCAAACAGGA